rnacentral:misc_RNA from 1 species
UGAUCUGAAGUUAAAUAGUUUCGAGCUCCAUCUAAGUUACAUAAAAAACUCAUCUUGGCAUACGAAUUUAAACCUAAGUGCUACAAUUCUAUGUAAAACCCUCUACAUUCUCAAACCAGAGCGAAAAAUAUACCUAAAAGCAUCAAAUAAGCACGAUACGAUCAAUCUACAGUAAUACAACGCAAUUCGACUUACCUCAAUCAUAGACUCUCAGCUUCCAUGGAAAACCGAUGAUCACAUCCUCUGUCUCAUGUGAAAAAGAAAAAACCUUUGUUGCAAUCAAGUCGCCAUCAUAAACUCGAAUCUAGCAUUAGUAUGAUCUUGAGGUAUCAGUCCUCGAUACUUGUCGAAACACUUCUCAGCCUCGUCGUUCUUCUUCAAUGCUGUAUAUAUCAUGCCUUGACACAAGUAAGGCCUAAAAUCCCCUGGCUCCUCAUCUACUAACUCUUGAUAAACCUUCAAUGCUUCAUCAUAUUUACCUCCAAUAACCCAUAUUUGUGCAAGAAUAAGCUUCAAAUCCCUCAACUCACUCUCUUUCUCCUCCUUCUUACACAUGUUAAUCCCCUCCUCGACCUGUUUCUCAAUUUUCUUCAUUUCCUCCACGGACUCAUCUUCCGAUGCAGCCACAACCAGCCCGCGAUACGCCUCUACGUAAUAAGGAUCCUUUAAUAUAACAUCUCUAAAACCCAAUUUAGCUAAUUGAAUCUCCCCACUAUGAACAUACAAGUGAGAUUUCAAGAAACGCCAUUCGAUCUCUUCCGGCUCCAGCUCAAUCAACUUGUUUAUUAUGCUGAGAGCAUCGUCUAAUUCUCUAUUCUUAACACGAUUUUCCAACAAAUUUCUCAAUAUUUCAACAUUUUCAGUUCCCUCCUGUUCUAAAACUUCUUCUUUCACAUUCGUAUCCACGAUUGGCACCGGCGAAACAGGACAACAUAUAGCUUGCUUGGGGUUGAAAUAAAACCCUGUAAAGAAAAGGGCAGUGGCAGUAAUGGUGGAAAUCAAUGUGGGUUUGAGAAAAGAGAGUGGAAUUAAAGAUUUGAGGGGCUCAGAGUUAGAGGUUUUAGAGAGUUUAGUGGAUAAUGGAAAUGGGGAUUUGAAGGAAAGAG